rnacentral:rRNA from 1 species
CCUACGGGAGGCAGCAGUGGGGAAUUUUGGACAAUGGGCGCAAGCCUGAUCCAGCAAUGCCGCGUGAGUGAAGAAGGCCUUCGGGUUGUAAAGCUCUUUUGUCAGGGAAGAAAAGGGAUUGGCUAAUAUCUGAUCCUCAUGACGGUACCUGAAGAAUAAGCACCGGCUAACUACGUGCCAGCAGCCGCGGUAAUACGUAGGGUGCAAGCGUUAAUCGGAAUUACUGGGCGUAAAGCGUGCGCAGGCGGUUUUGUAAGACUGUCGUGAAAUCCCCGGGCUUAACCUGGGAAUGGCGAUGGUGACUGCAAGGCUAGAGUUUGGCAGAGGGGGGUAGAAUUCCACGUGUAGCAGUGAAAUGCGUAGAUAUGUGGAGGAACACCGAUGGCGAAGGCAGCCCCCUGGGUCAAAACUGACGCUCAUGCACGAAAGCGUGGGGAGCAAACAGGAUUAGAUACCCUGGUAGUCCACGCCCUAAACGAUGUCUACUAGUUGUCGGGUCUUAAUUGACUUGGUAACGCAGCUAACGCGUGAAGUAGACCGCCUGGGGAGUACGGUCGCAAGNUUAAAACUAGAAAUGAACGUGNGNGNGAGACGAGACGACGACGACGGAGAGGAGGAG